AUGGGUAGUUCAGAACCCGGUUUCGAAGAUUUUCUUCAAGACAAGAAGCGCAGGAACCCGUUUGUCCCAGUUGGUGCAUUUAUUACUGCCGGUGUACUAACGGCUGGCUUAAUCAGCUUUAGACAAGGUAAUUCUCAGUUAGGCCAGAAGCUAAUGAGGGCACGUGUGGUUGUCCAAGCUGCUACAGUGGCACUCAUGGUUGGCACUGCCUAUUAUUAUGAAGACAAUCCUUGGCAAAAGAAAUAG